AAGAAAAGCUACAAUUGGUCGUCCACGUAUCAGAUUCAAAGACUCGGCUGAAAAAAAAGAGAGUAAAGUACCGAAGAAAAGCACAAAAGCUCCCACAAGAAGAAAAAUACCCAUGCAGGAAUUUGAAAGCAUAGGUGCUGGUUCAGAAACACAACCGAAUAGUGAACAUGAUGUUCAAUUUGCUGAUGAUUUGACUCAAGGUGAUAUGACCCAGGGGGAUUUGGAUGGAACCUCAAGUUGACAAGGGGCAUGUUUU